UCACUUGAAUGAAGAAAGGAAGAAAGAAGAAGAGAGAAAGAAGAAGAAAAGGGAGAAGAAGAAGAAGUCCAAGAAGCCUAGAGGAGUUUGAGAAAAUUAAGGGAAGUGAUUUUGGAGGCUUGAAGUUGUUGGAAACUUGAAGAUCCAUGGAGUAUUGAGGUAUUGAAGCAUGCUAUGGAAGGGUUUGGCAAGAGAAAGAGGCUUGAGCAUGAAGAAUUUUGUAUAUUUUU